UACGUAGGGUGCAAGCGUUAAUCGGAAUUACUGGGCGUAAAGCGUGCGCAGGCGGUUUUGUAAGUCUGUCGUGAAAUCCCCGGGCUCAACCUGGGAAUUGCGAUGGAGACUGCAAGGCUAGAAUCUGGCAGAGGGAGGUAGAAUUCCACGUGUAGCAGUGAAAUGCGUAGAGAUGUGGAGGAACACCGAUGGCGAAAGGCAGCCCCCCUGGGUCAAGAUUGACGCUCAUGCACGAGAGCGUGGGGAGCAAACAGG
rnacentral:rRNA from 1 species